AAAUUCCUCUAACCCCCGCACACAGAAACGAGCAUUGUUAACAGUCAGUGAAAAGUGAGCUUGCCUGGAUCCACAGAAAACUCAAAUCCUAUUCUAAGUCAGUGAUUCUUCUGAAGUGUGGUCCUUAGAGCAGCAGUAGCAAUAUCAUCUGGGAACUUGUUAGAAGUUCCCAGAAUCACCUGGGAACUCAGGCUGCACCUGGGACUUUUCGAAUCAGAGAAUCUGGGGUGGGCGCAACAAUCACCUCCAGAUGAUUCUGGUGCAUGCUAGAGUUUGAGAACUACCAUCUUGGGAAUGUGAGAAGGAGCCAAACAGAAAGCAAGAAUACGAUUCAGCGUUUCCAACGGAGACUGUGUCUGGUACAUAGCUGUAUAUUUUAGCGGUGGGUCCUUCUAGUAGUGGCAUGUGGGAUGCUGCCCCAGCAUGGCCUAAUGAGCAGUGCCAUGUCCAUGACCAGGAUCCGAACCUGCGAAACCCUGGGCCACGGAAGCGGAGCCGCAAACCCAACCACUCUGCCACAGGUCCACUCUCCACGUUUCCUCAUCCUGCUGUUGCCCCAGGAGGCUGACGUGUAUGCACUUGUACUUCAUCAACAACUUCCCUCGACCUCUGGCUUCCAGUUCUUCCAGUUUUCUUCAAUAUCUGGAUACAAUCC
rnacentral:lncRNA from 1 species